AAAUUUAAUACGAGCGCCGAUCGAGAGUCAUAAAUUUAGCAGCAGAGCUUUCCUGGUUGUCACGGAAAUUCGUCUGUAGUGCAAAACUCACGUGUCACAUCAACCAUGUAUCAGUCGUAUCAGUUGUUCGAUGAACAAUUCAAUGUAGGUGGUAUGUGGUACGAAGUGCGAUAAGCAGUCUUAAAGUCAAGCAAAUGUUUCAAACGGCUCAGGAUUAUUAGAUCACACUGGUGCAAGAAGUGAGGAUCAUCCGUCAAGCAAAGUUCAUAUAAGAUCCGCAUUCGCGCAUACUCCAUUCCUUAACAAGUCUAACGUUAGAUUAAAUUUAAACUUAAGAUUAUUUACACUGUUUUAAGCCAUGGAUAAAUUUUCCCUUCGAAAUGCUGUUAGGUGUAGAAAACUACACAGGGAAAGCGACAGGCUAAUAAGGAAAGGCUAUUAUCUAUGAUACACCAGCAUGUAUGAACCAGUUUUAAGAAAACAGUGAUACAAGUUUGGUGAAUACCCCGUCGUAUUCAUCGAGGGAAAACCCAUGAAAACCAGUCGUCCUAGCCAAAAAAAUAAAGGUCAAACAUGUCUAGUGUCGACGUGUUAUCCAGAAGCUAUUCGCACUCAAGGUAUAUCUGAUGCAGUCACCUCCGUGUAAAAGGAAUCACUUCGACUCGAGAUUCAAACCAAGAAACAUCAGUUGAUCUGUGUGUUCCAUCUCCUUCCUACAGUCUGCAAAAUAAAAUGAUGAAGGUCUUGUCAAUUUUCCUGCUCAUGGCAGCCGUGUCUCUGACCACCGUGUCCGCUCGAUUCUGGCAGGUAGGCGACAACGGUUUGUCUCGCUGGGACUACAAUUGUCAUUUUGUUGGCAAUGUCAUCGACAACAAGCCCAGCUCUGGCGAGCAAUGCGGUGGCAUCUGCAUCGCUAACUCUCAAUGCACCCACUAUACUCACGCAGGCGGUUACUGUUACCUGAAGAGACACACCGGCAACUGGAGAGAAACCGAUGAAACUGCAAACACUUGCGGUUUCAUCCUCGGCCGAAGCACGCAGGCACCUUAAACGUGGAAAAACGAACGCAAUCGUUAUGAAUUUUGGCCAUGUCAAACGACUGAGAAAACGGGGAAAUGUGGACAAACAGAAAAAUAAACUGUUUGAAUCAAUUGUUUGUUCCAA